AUAUGGUGGUUCGCAGCUGGUCCGGAGCCGUAAGCCAACGGCUUCGGGGCAAGAGGGAACCCGGUGCGAUUCCGGGACUGCCCCGCAGCGGUGAGUGGAAACGAAAGCCGUCACCAAGCACUGGACGCGAGUCUGGGAAGCGACGGCCGGUAGGCGCGUGGGUCGAGACAGCACAGGUCGCGACCCGCCACGUCCACGAGUCCGAAGACCUGCCAGCGGCCACGCGCACCC
rnacentral:ncRNA from 2 species